rnacentral:rRNA from 1 species
AACUUUCAGCACACGGAUCU